AGGGGUAACAUAAGUGCUUGCACUUGAUGACGACCGGCGCACGGGUGCGUAACGCGUAUACAAUCUACCUUAUAGAGGGGAAUAGCCCAGAGAAAUUUGGAUUAAUGCCCCAUGGUAUUAUUGAGUGGCAUUAUUUAAUAAUUAAACAUUUAUGGCUAUAAGAUGAGUAUGCGUUCUAUUAGCUAGAUGGUAAGGUAACGGCUUACCAUGGCGACGAUAGAUAGGGGUCCUGAGAGGGAGAUCCCCCACACUGGUACUGAGACACGGACCAGACUCCUACGGGAGGCAGCAGUGAGGAAUAUUGGACAAUGGGAGCAAUCCUGAUCCAGCCAUGCCGCGUGCAGGAAGACUGCCCUAUGGGUUGUAAACUGCUUUUAUACAGGAAGAAAAAGGUGUACGUGUACACUGUUGACGGUACUGUAAGAAUAAGGAUCGGCUAACUCCGUGCCAGC
rnacentral:rRNA from 1 species